AGCUGAUGUUGGCAUGAGUAGCGAUAAACAGGGUGAAAAACCCUGUCGCCGUAAACCCAAGGGUUCCUGGGUAAAGAUAAUCUUCUCAGGGUUAGUCGGUCCCUAAGGCGAGGCAGAAAUGCGUAGUCGAUGGGUAGCAGGCGAAUAUUCCUGCACCAGCACGGAAGGUUUCACGAGGAGGGACGGAGGAGGAUAGCCAAGCGACCUGAUGGAUGGUCGUUCAAGCCGGUAGGCAGCUCGCGUAGGAGGCGUAGGCCGCAAACGCGUGAGCAAUGCCGAGAGGUGAUGAGGGUCGCCGCAAGGCGGACAACUUGGUGAUUCCAUGCUUCCAAGAAAAGCUUCGCGUGAGUGUACCUCUGUGCUGACCGUACCGUAAACCGACACAGGUGGGUGGGGAGAACAUCCCAAGGCGCUUGAGAGAACUCGGGUUAAGGAACUCGCAAAUUGACACCGUAACUUCGGGAGAAGGUGUGCCCUUGAGGGUGAUCGGCUUCGCGCCGCGAGCCUUUGGGGGUUGCAGAGAAUCGGGGGUAGCGACUGUUUAUCAAAAACACAGGACUCUGCGAAGUCGCAAGACGACGUAUAGGGUCUGACGCCUGCCCGGUGCUGGAAGGUUAACAGGAGAUGUCAGGGCAACCGAAGCAUCGAAUCGAAGCCCCAGAAAACGGCGGCCGUAACAAUAACGGUCCUAAGGUAGCGAAAUUCCUUGGCGGGUAAGUUCCGUCCUGCACGAAUGGCGUAACGACUUCCCCACUGUCUCGACCCGGGACUCAGCGAAAUUGAAAUCGGGGUGAUGAUGCCCCGUACCCGCGGAAAGACGGAAAGACCCCGUGAACCUUUACUGCAGCUUGGCACUGGUUUUCGGAUUUGUCUGUGUAGGAUAGGUGGGAGGCUGUGAAGUGGGGGCGCUAGCUUCCACGGAGCCAACGUUGAGAUACCACCCUGACAAAUCUGAAAGCCUAACCGUGACCCGUAAGCCGGGUCCGGAACACUGCCUGGUGGGUAGUUUGACUGGGGCGGUCACCUCCGAAAAAGUAACGGAGGCGCGCAAAGGUUCCCUCAGGCUGAUUGGAAACCAGCCGUAGAGUGUAAAAGCACAAGGGAGCUUGACUGCAACUCAUACGAGAGGAGCAGGUACGAAAGUAGGCUUUAGUGGUCCGGUGGUUCUGAACGGAAGGGCCAUCGCUCAACGGAUAAAAGGUACUCCGGGGAUAACAGGCUUAUCACGCCCAAGAGUUCACAUCGACGGCGUGGUUUGGCACCUCGAUGUCGGCUCAUCGCAUCCUGGGGCUGUAGUAGGUCCCAAGGGUUUUGCUGUUCGCCAAUUAAAGCGGUACGCGAGCUGGGUUCAAAACGUCGUGAGACAGUUUGGUCCCUAUCUUCCGUGGGCGCAGGAGUCUUGAAGUGGAUCUGUCCCUAGUACGAGAGGACCGGGAUGGACGAACCCCUGGUGUUCCGGUUGUUUUGCCAGAGGCAUUGCCGGGUAGCUAUGUUCGGAACGGAUAACCGCUGAAAGCAUCUAAGCGGGAAGCCAACCACAAGAUGAGGACUCCCUGAAGGCCCGUUGUAGACUACGACGUUGAUAGGCUGGGUGUGGAAGUGCGGCAACGCAUGGAGCUAACCAGUACUAAUCGGCCGUUUGGCUUGAUC
rnacentral:rRNA from 1 species